rfam:Gorilla gorilla gorilla genomic chromosome, chr17, whole genome shotgun sequence
GUGUUCAGCAUUACAUACACUAAAAUUGAAAUGAUACAGAAAAGAUUAGCAUGGCCCCUAAGCAAGGAUGACAUGCAAAUUUGUGAAGCAUUAUAUUUAUAU